rnacentral:lncRNA from 1 species
GCCCAUAAGCCCAAAAUAGCACCAACAAGGUGACCAAAAGUAUUCCCAGUACUACAAAAAAUUAUUUGGCACCCCGCCGCUAUUAUCGCCAACCAAAUGAUCAAAAUUACACCCAGUACUCCACAAUUAUUCGGCAGCCUGCCGCUAUUACCACCAAUCAGGUGAUCAAAAGUACGCCCAGUACUCCAAAUUUAUUCAGCAGCUUGCUGCUAUUACCACCAACCAGGUGAUCAAAAGUACGCCCAGUACUUCAAAAUUAUACAUGAGCACUACUCAUGUCAAUCAUACAUAAACAUUCAUGAGCAUCACUCAUAUCAAUCAUACAUAAACAUUCAUGAGCAUCACUCAUGUCAACAUUCAUGAGCAUUACUCAUAUCAACAUUCAUGAGCAUCACUCAUGACAACAUCCAUGAGCAUCACUCAUGUCAAUCAUACAUAAACAUUCAUGAGCAUCACUUAUGUCAAUCAGCCUCAAAAGCUUCAUUUACAAAGCUCUAGCUUCAAAAGCUUCAUGUACAAAGCUCUAGCUUCAAAAACUUCAUUUACAAAAGCUCUAGCUUUAAAAGCUUCAUAUACAGAGCUACAGCUUCAAAAGCUUCAUUUACAAAAGCUCUAGCUUCAAAAGCUUCAUUUAUAGAGCUACAGCUUCAAAAGUUUCAUUUACAAAAGCUCUAGCUUCAAAAGCUUUAUUUACAAGAACUCUAGCUUCAAAAGCUUCAUUUACAGAGCUCUAGCUUCAAAGAUUCAACUUGCAAAGCUUCACCUACAAAGCUUCAGUGCAUGGUCUACAAAGACCGCCUAGGAACAACUUCCACUUCAGCCUAUACAUGGAUUUAAUUUGAAGUCUCCAGCCAACAGACUCUAUUGACCGAAGACUUGGGGGACUACAUUAUGUACCAUAUAUUGGGCCUCAACUGGGCCUCAUAAAAAUAUACUUGGGGGACUUAGCCCAUUAUUUAUGUAUUGAUGAGCGAACCCUUAUCUUAUAAAAGGGACUCCCUCACCUUCGUUAAAGAGCAACGCCGCCAGCUGAGCAAACCGCAUCGUCGCGAGCAUCACUCCUAACCCAUCAUUUAUGUAUUGAGGAGUGAGCCCUUAAUUUAUAAAAGGGAUUCCCUCACUUUCAUUAGAAAGC